AAGCAGACUGGGAAGCAUGGCUAUGAGGCAGUGACUGAGUUGCAAAUUCUCUAAAUUCUACUGCAACUGAGGGCUGUGUUUGAACCAAGGGUAGCCAUGAGGUUGCUCCCACUAGGGCCCAGCCAGAUCUUGCCAGUGGCUUUAUGGGAAGUCAUAUUUUUCAAGGCUUUGGGUUGGAUCGGAAAACAUUUUUAUUCAAUAUGGCAUCCUGUGUGUUCAUUUUUCUUUUUCAGAUGACUGAAGGUGACACCGAGCCAGCUGGGAAGGCUGUGGGGCACCAGGGCUCACAUUCUACAAUGGCAAUAUCUGGGCACAAAAAUACAGCAAAAGGGCAGAACUCUCCAACUAUAAAGCACACUAAACAUAACUUCAAAAAGAAACUUCACCGAGUCCUCAGGGGCAAUGGAAUGAGAUCUUCCAGAACACUAGAGAGGAACUAUCUGUGGUCAGUACGGAGACUGGAAAGAAGUGACUACUUUCACUAUACCAACUGCCAUGACAGUGGGAUGGGAAGAUUUCUCUAUGAAGGACUCUCCAGGUCCAAACACAACACCCAAAGCCACGUAGCCAGGACCUGGAAGAGAUUCAGGAGCUUUCAUGGAACACUGGAAAAUCGAAACAGCAGCUAAAAGUGCAGCUACAGAAGCUUCCAGAUAAGAAUCUUCACUCCGGUGAGCUUGGGGGAGAAAGUAUUGACCCCCAGACUCCUAAAUCCCAUAUUAAAAGGAUGUGUUAUCUCAGGUAUGGGUCUUAACUCUGAAAGGCAUCUCUGGGGAACUACAAA
rnacentral:lncRNA from 1 species